UAGGAUGAAGUUUCCCAAAAAAUUAGGAAAAAACUUCCUGCGGGAGGAAACCUGUGCCAAGCUCUAGAAGUGGAGGCGCAAUCUCGGAACUAACAAACUCCAAAAACACACACGGAUAUAACAACGGUCUUAACCACGGAUUCAAAGGUGGAGAGCGCGUUUUCUCCUCGACUUUCUCAUUUCUUUAAAAGAGAAAUGGAAGAGAGUUCAAGCUCUCCAGUCUCCCCAGUGGACAGCCUGGUGACCAGCGAGGAGGAGUUGGACAGACAGCAGAAAAAGUUCGGAAGGAAGAGGAGACAAAGUAAAAAGUCGAGCGAGGACGGCAGCAGCCCGAGCUCCGUGAAUAAACGGAGCAAGAAGCCGAGCCCGAGCAGCACUCAGUCGUUCGAGGAGCUGCAGAACCAGCGCGUCCUGGCGAACGUCAGGGAGAGGCAACGGACUCAGUCGCUGAACGAUGCUUUCGCGUCUUUGCGCAAAAUCAUCCCCACGCUCCCCUCGGAUAAACUCAGCAAGAUACAGACGCUCAAGCUCGCCUCCAGGUACAUUGAUUUCCUCUGUCAGGUGCUGCAGAGCGACGAGAUGGACAACAAGAUGUCCAGCUGCAGCUACGUCGCUCACGAGAGACUGAGUUACGCCUUCUCGGUGUGGAGGAUGGAGGGCGCGUGGUCGAUGUCUGCGUCCCACUAGCAGCGAGACUCGUCCGUGCAAUGCCGAAAGGACUGUUUACUUCCACUAAUUUUGAAGACACCAAAGGAUUUAUUGAUGAACCUCUAAACCUCAGUGACGUGGCCAAAGGACAUUCAGUAGAUACACCUACGGACUUGAGUAUCCUCACGAAGGAAACAACGAAAGGAGCUUUUUCUAUAGAGGAAACGUAGAUGACGUCUCCUGUGUCGUCAAAUACAUUUAAUCAUUUUCACAAGUUAUUCUUAAAUGUCGGCAUGGUGAUAGUACAGGAAGGCCAUCUGUUAUCUGUAUGGAAACUAUAUUGUGUGUGUGUGUGUGUGUGUGUGUGUGUGUGUGUGUGUGUGUGUGUGUGAGUGUGUGGCUGUGUGUAUGUGUGUGUGUGUGUGUGUGUGUGAACAAAAAACUAUUGUAAAUAGGCUACCUGUGAGUAUUGUCAGCUUUUUUUAAGGGACCAAUGCAAUUUAGAGCAAUACUUUCUUGAAGUACGCUGCAUGGAUGAAUGCAUACAUUUGAUUUUUCCUAUGCAACAUUUUCAAUUUCCGUCCAUUGUACAUUUUGCUUAUUUAUUAAAACAUAUUUUUGAACAUUU